rnacentral:lncRNA from 1 species
ACUCUCACUGCUGAGAAAAAAUACCCAACACUCACAAGUUAAGGGAGGAAAGAUUUAUUUAGCUCACAGUCUGUACAGGUUUCAGUCCAUAAUCGGCGGGCCCCAAGACAGGGUGGCGUGGAAAACAGGGUUUACAGAGGAGAAACAGUUCAUGGCACACACGGCAGCAAAACCAACAAGGGACCUUUAGCAGCGACUUUCUGCCCCUUUUAUCCAGACUACUGGAGAUCAGGGCAGUGCCAAACCAAUCAGUGUACUAGUUUAGUGAACCACACACCCUUAAUCUCAGCAUCACAUACAUUGGAUUCACUUACCCCUGAAAAAGCCCUAUGACCACAGGAAGCUUUGAGGGGACAUCCUGACACAAAUCAUAACCCUCCACCUGCUAUUUUCUAGGUUCCUGUUGCAUGGAGUACUGUUUUCCACCCUUUGACUUUCAGUCUAUGAAUUUUUAAAUUAAAUGUGUUUCUUGUAUGCACUAUACUGUUGGAUCUUGCUUCUUGAUCCCUUCUGCCAGUCUGUUUCUUUUGACUGGUGAAUUGAGACCAUUAACAUUGAUGGUUAUAACUGCUAUGUACUGACUUCUCCUUGUCAUCUUAUUUUCCUGUUGUUGGUUCCUUUUUUCUAUGGUAUCUUCUACAUAUGACCAUUUUGGCCUCACUUCCUUCUCCCAGCCUUCAAACCAGGGAACAAGUACAGGCAUAUGCAAUGUUACACGUGGGUGAACCCAAAAUUCAUUUAUAGGGGACAAGCUUUUCUGUGUAUUUCAACACAAAAGUGUUGAAACGUGCUACCUUUACUACCUGGUCAUACACUGGCAACCUGUAUAACAACUAGGAACUGUAUGCUGCAAAAGUUGGAUUUGUCUGUUAUAUACACAGCAAAACAAAAUCCACAAUACAUAUAUAAAAACGAUGUCUCAAAGUGUCCAGGUACAAACACACUAACAUAACACCUUUCGCAAGUGCUUCCCUCCCACCUCCUCCAAACCGCUGAACAAGCAAACAGCACCACAUUGCUCAAGAGGUGGCUCAACCUUUCCAUUCCCAAAACACAGCAUUUCAUAUGAACGUUAGCAAAAAAAAUUCACAAAGUGGUAUUUUACUUCCUCUACAGUUAAUGUAUGCUGGGCACUUCUAAACAUCUCAAAAAGACUAGAUGUCUCAAGUGAGGACUCAAUUUGUCCAUCACACGUACACAGCAUUCUUUUUUUUUUUUUUGGUACCGGGGAUCGAACUCAGGACCUUGCGCUUUCAAGGCGGGCGCCGGAACCACUGAGCUAAAUCCCCGGCC